AAUAUUGUGGCUAAGCGAAUAAGGGCAGACGGUGGAUGCCUUGGUGCCAAGCGGCGAAGAAGGACGCGGUAAGCUGCGAUAAGCUUCGGGGAGGAGCUAAACAUCCUUUGAUCCGGAGAUUUCCGAAUGGGGAAACCCGUCACGGCUAAUGCCGUGUCAUCCGUAGGUGAAUACAUAGC
rnacentral:rRNA from 1 species